UUAGAGUUUGNNUCCUGGCUCAGAUUGAACGCUGGCGGCAGGCCUAACACAUGCAAGUCGAGCGGUAGAGAGAAGCUUGCUUCUCUUGAGAGCGGCGGACGGGUGAGUAAUGCCUAGGAAUCUGCCUGGUAGUGGGGGAUAACGUUCGGAAACGGACGCUAAUACCGCAUACGUCCUACGGGAGAAAGCAGGGGACCUUCGGGCCUUGCGCUAUCAGAUGAGCCUAGGUCGGAUUAGCUAGUUGGUGAGGUAAUGGCUCACCAAGGCGACGAUCCGUAACUGGUCUGAGAGGAUGAUCAGUCACACUGGAACUGAGACACGGUCCAGACUCCUACGGGAGGCAGCAGUGGGGAAUAUUGGACAAUGGGCGAAAGCCUGAUCCAGCCAUGCCGCGUGUGUGAAGAAGGUCUUCGGAUUGUAAAGCACUUUAAGUUGGGAGGAAGGGCAGUUACCUAAUACGUGAUUGUUUUGACGUUACCGACAGAAUAAGCACCGGCUAACUCUGUGCCAGCAGCCGCGGUAAUACAGAGGGUGCAAGCGUUAAUCGGAAUUACUGGGCGUAAAGCGCGCGUAGGUGGUUAGUUAAGUUGGAUGUGAAAUCCCCGGGCUCAACCUGGGAACUGCAUUCAAAACUGACUGACUAGAGUAUGGUAGAGGGUGGUGGAAUUUCCUGUGUAGCGGUGAAAUGCGUAGAUAUAGGAAGGAACACCAGUGGCGAAGGCGACCCACCCUGGACUGAUACUGACACUGAGGUGCGAAAGCGUGGGAGCAA
rnacentral:rRNA from 1 species